GUGUGUCUACGAUGCACUUGAGAUCUCAGAUGCUGGGUUAUGUGGGAUGCUGCUGAAAUCAAUGUGUGCACACCACCAGAAGGACAACCAUUGUGAUGAUGACAUCAGAGUGCCAGUAUAUGUUUGGCUUCCUCAUGUGGUUUCUUAGGUACAGGACUAUUUUCAUUUGAAAAACAAUAGCCCUUUCCAUCAAUAACCCAUCAUAGAUGGAGAAGGACAGAGACCACAUGGCUGCGAGGAUAUUAGACCUCACCCUGGAGAUCAUCUCCUUGAUAACUGGAGAGGAUUACACAGUAGUGAAGAAGUCGUCUGGUGAGUGUGUGACACCCCGUG